rnacentral:rRNA from 1 species
AGUGAACGCUGGCGGUAGGCCUAACACAUGCAAGUCGAACGGCAGCACAGUAAGAGCUUGCUCUUACGGGUGGCGAGUGGCGGACGGGUGAGGAAUACAUCGGAAUCUACUUUUUCGUGGGGGAUAACGUAGGGAAACUUACGCUAAUACCGCAUACGACCUACGGGUGAAAGCAGGGGAUCUUCGGACCUUGCGCGAUUGAAUGAGCCGAUGUCGGAUUAGCUAGUUGGCGGGGUAAAGGCCCACCAAGGCGACGAUCCGUAGCUGGUCUGAGAGGAUGGUCAGCCACACUGGAACUGAGACACGGUCGAGACUCCUACGGGAGGCAGCAGUGGGGAAUAUUAGACAAUGGGCGAAAGCCUGAUCCAGCCAUACCGCGUGGGUGAAGAAGGCCUUCGGGUUGUAAAGCCCUUUUGUUGGGAAAGAAAAGCAGCAGGUUAAUACCCCGCUGUUCUGACGGUACCCAAAGAAUAAGCACCGGCUAACUUCGUG